rfam:Pelodiscus sinensis unplaced genomic scaffold scaffold2737, whole genome shotgun sequence.
ACAACGGCUCUUUUAAGAGCCACCUAAUCGAUCCAUAAAAGAGCUU